rnacentral:rRNA from 1 species
GACGAACGCUGGCGGCGUGCUUAACACAUGCAAGUCGAACGGAAAGGCCCAGCAUCUUUGGUGGUGGGUACUCGAGUGGCGAACGGGUGAGUAACACGUGGGUGAUCUGCCCCGCACUGUGGGAUAAGCCUGGGAAACUGGGUCUAAUACCACAUACGACCAUGGCGUAGGGGUCAUGGUGGAAAGCUUUAUUGCGGUGUGGGAUGAGCCCGCGGCCUAUCAGCUUGUUGGUGGGGUAAUGGCCUACCAAGGCGGCGACGGGUAGCCGGCCUGAGAGGGUGGACGGCCACAUUGGGACUGAGACACGGCCCAGACUCCUACGGGAGGCAGCAGUGGGGAAUAUUGCACAAUGGGCGCAAGCCUGAUGCAGCGACGCCGCGUGGGGGAUGACGGCCUUCGGGUUGUAGACUCCUUUCGCCCGGGACGAAGCCCACC